CAUAUAUCACGAAUAUCUUAAUCAAAUACGAUUUCUGAUGUAUUGUUCUCGAUAUAUUCAUUCAUCAUUAUCGAAUAACUGAUAUAUACAUACACUCUAAUUUCCUUAACCUCAUUUUUUUAUGCAUUUAACAUAAUAAAAUAUAUAUAACAUAAUACAAUAUCAAUUCAAUUGAGCAAAGAACAAAUAUUGAAUGAAAAAAUCGUCAUUGGCUUUUAUUUUCUUUGGCACUUUAUUGACAUAAAUGUAACAAUCUUACGUUGCAUAAUAUGUACAAUUAUUUAUAAUAAUAUGGCGCAUUGAAAAACACACAGAAAGAAGCAUAUCAACUUUUGAUAAAAGUUUGCGGUGAUUCUUUAUAUGCUUUUUUUCUUCGUUUUGUUUGAUUUGGAACAAAAUUAAACGAGCUACAUAUAUUAUCAAUUACGAUAUACAUUUAUAGAUAAAAAAGUAAUACAAAUGUAUAGCUAUAUGCUACAAAUCGCAAAGGCUUCACACACAUUCGUGCGCAGGCGCUUAAUCGUUAGUAAUAAAUUAGAAUAUUCACAAUAGAUAUUUGAAAAUAAGUUGUGCUACUGCAUGAUAAUCUGCGAAUUUUUUAAAUUAUCUAUGUUUUCAUACUAAUUCAUAUUUGCAUCUAGCACCAGUGUUCGAUGGUAUCGAAUUAUUAUUAUAAUUGUGAAAAGUUAUAUUAUGCGCGCACGUUCAAAUUCAAUGUGGAAAACGAUUGGUUAAUUGAAAACGAUGUUUUAUUUUACCGAUCAAUAAUUAAU